AAUAGAUACCCCGGUAGUCCACGCCGUAAACGAUGUCGACUUGGAGGUUGUGCCCUUGAGGCGUGGCUUCCGGAGCUAACGCGUUAAGUCGACCGCCUGGGGAGUACGGCCGCAAGGUUAAAACUCAAAUGAAAUUGAACGGGGGCCCGCACGAAGCGGUGGAGCAUGUGGUUUAAUUCGAUGCAACGCGAAGAACCUUACCUACUCUUGACAUCCAGAGAACUUAGCAGAGAUGCUUUGGUGCCUUUCGGGAACUCUGAGACAGGUGCUGCAUGGCUGUCGUCAGCUCGUGUUGUGAAAUGUUGGGUUAAGUCCCGCAACGAGCGCAACCCUUAUCCUUUGUUGCCAGCGAUUCGGUCGGGAACUCAAAGGAGACUGCCAGUGAUAAACUGGAGGAAGGUGGGGAUGACGUCAAGUCAUCAUGGCCCUUACGAGUAGGGCUACACACGUGCUACAAUGGCAUAUACAAAGAGAAGCGACCUCGCGAGAGCAAGCGGACCUCAUAAAGUAUGUCGUAGUCCGGA
rnacentral:rRNA from 1 species